rnacentral:lncRNA from 1 species
GCCCAGCCCGGACCCGCCUCCACCCUCCAGUGCCCUGGCGCUGGGGGCGUGCUAAAAGCAACAGAAAACAAAACAAAAACAAACAAAGCGCCAAACCCCACUCUCACCUCUUCUACUGGUCAAAGGUAAGUGUGAGUUCAGCCUCUCCCUCGUGCGUCUCUGACCCUUCUCUGGUUCUCUGGGCUGAGGUCUGAAGGAGCCAAAAGGGGCCCCCCUGAAAAAGAAAUUAUGGCCGCUUUUUAGAAUAUGUUUUCCAAGCAUCAAAAUCUCUCUCUCUCUCUCUCUCACACACACACAUAUAUAUACACACACACACGCACACACUUCAAACCCACACUUGCCAGUCUGGAAGAGCACUACCGAUGUGCAUGUUUCUGGAAGCAUUUCCUUAGCUAUUGGAGGAAAUGUUUACUAAUAUUUCAGGUUGUAGACACCAAUAAUUAUUCUGUGAAUUGGGGAGAGGGAGGGUAAAGGAAGACAGAUUCCUCUUAAUUUAACCCUUCCUCCCGUAUCUGAGUGUGAAUCCUACUUUCAGUCCCAAGUCCUAGCAUGGGCCGAAAAGUUUUCAUUCUUAUACUGAGGAGGAGAGAGAGAGAGUUAUCCAUUUCUGCGAGGUUUCCUGUGUUCCCACCCCUCACUAUGGAACUGGGGAAGUGAUUGUUUUGUUUAUCUAGACAAUUCAUGACUUAGUUUUGUAUGGCGUUUUGAAACUAGUUUAACCUUGAAAUAGGCUAUAUGCUUUGAGUGGUACAGUGAAAUAGGCUGUGUGCUUCUCUGUUCUCAGGAAAAGGUUGUUAGAAAUCACAAUGUUUCUUUCUAUUCAGGCAGCCUUGAGUUAGAGAUGGGCAUAGUAUGCUAUGAUUAUUGUGACUUUUAGUAAAGUCUGUUGCCUCUGGAUGUUUACUGUCUUUGGAGAAUGAUAGUUUUUUAAGAAAAAAAUUCAAAAGCUUAGGCAAAAAAUAAGUAUAGAUAGGUCUAGUAAGUGAUCAGUACUAUUAAUAUUUGCUUCUACUUUCUUCACACACUCUUCUGGGGAAAGAAGCCAAAGGACUUUUUUUUUACUGUCCCCGGAAUUAGUUUGUUCUAUCUAGGCAGGAUCCACGAGACAAUCUUUUAAAAUGGCGUCUGUUUUCUUAUUUGGUAUUUUCAGGUGGAUGGCAGAAUCUUUGAACUGCUAAUAAGUAAGGGGAUGGGGCUGAAAUGAAGAGGGAUCUGGUAUCUUUCCUCUGUGUUCAUCAAUCCAGGAGAUCUGAACAGGUCGUAAAGAGUUGCAGCUCCUCCUGAGGAUAAAAUCGCAAUUAUAACAAUAAAAACUAACAUGUGUUGAGUGCUUAUUCGUUGCCAGGUGCUGUGUUGCAACCUUUAUCGUCAUUUUCUCAUUUAAUUUCCACUGCAAUCCUGUGGAUUAGGUACUACGAUAGUUUCUCAUUUUACAGAGAAGGAAAGUAAGGAUUGGGAAGAUUUAUUUACUUGACCAAGGUUAUAACAGUUGGUAAGCAGAAGAGCAAGGAUCUGAAAGCAGGCAGUAAAAGAGAUAUCUUGAGAACUCAGGUUUAUUGUAUUGGAUUCAGACUGGUAGUAACUAAGCUAAUAUUUCAGGUCUCAGUCUUGUUUUUCAUAAAGAAAAGAAGAAAAUAUUUUCUUUUCCUGAAAUGAAAGCAUUUGAUCAAAGGGAGAUAUUUGCUUUUUAAAAUGUUUGUUAUGAACUCCCUACCCCCAUUUCGCAGAUGAGAAAACUGAGAGAAUGAAUCCAUUUAGCUACCAUAGCAAAGUGCAUAGCCAGGCCUUAAAACCAGAGUUGCAGAUCCAGGUUCUAUAUCCAUUCCAGUUAACCAUACUGCUGAAACACAAAAAGAUCCUUGGUUUUUCUGAAAAUGCUAAGCAGUAGAUCAUUAACAGCCCGAAUCCCAUAUUUCUCAGUGAGGAAGCUUUCUUUCACCUUAAUUGUGAAUACCUUUUUAUACUGAAAGGAUGCAAAUGUGGAAAUAGGGCUAUUCUCAGUGGUGAAUUAAAUGACAAAAAUGGCAAAAGACUAAAAUAACUACAUCAGCUUUGCUUGAAAAGCAGUUAAAGCAGUUAAAAAGAUAUCUGAAAGGCUCGUCUCAGUACCAAUUUAGUCUUCUCCACCCCCCAAGACCCAUCCUACCCUACUCCAGGAAAGCCAUUCCACAUUACAUUUAUUUCUGCUAGCUUUUGUUCACAAAGGAGUUUAACACUAACAAGAUUUUGGUGCUUUUCAUCUCCAUUCAUAUAUUUCUUCUUUGCAACGGUGAAUGGUUACAGUAAAAAUGUCAAAACAAACCUCUGGAAUGAACACUUUAACAGAAAAAAAUAUAUACAAUAUUAAUUGACCAAAGAUUUUUGACUGGCAUUCACAUUUUAAGACACACUUAUGAUGUACUGAAGUAAAUUGUGGAAAUUGAUUUACCCUUUAUGUUAAAGGUAGUUCAGGUCCAGAAUAUGUUUCAAAAAACGAUUUUAGGGUUCCUCCAUUUUCAGUAAGGCUCAAAGUAUCAGAGAAAACCAGAUGAACUGCCUUAAGUCACUGAUUGGGCUGCAGCCCAUGUCUUAGCUUUCUGGGUCAUUUGUGUGCAAAUUAUUUGGCCACAUGGCCUCCUGUCAUGCUGGGGAUCUGCGAUUUUUCCAAAGGUUUAAUUUACUUAAAUAUGAUUGUUAUUGUCAAGUUGGGAUUUUUUUUUCUUCUCACCUCUCAUUAAAACCCUUAGUAUCAAUAUCAGUUUUGAACUAUUAUGUUAUAUAAUGAAGCUUGCUUGUCUGUGUGAAUUUAUACCAUAAAUGCGUUCACAGAUUUUUAGACCCGAAGAAGGGCUUUUUGAAAUGAUCUAGUCUAACCCUGUUAUUUUACUGAUGAAUAAGUUGAUGUCCUGAGAGGUAAUACAGAAUUCUCAAGGUCACCCAUCUAGUAAGAGGAAGAAUGGGAACUGGAACCCAGAUUUUCUGUAUUCAAGCUCUAAGACCCAUGCAUUCUCACAGCAUCACGUCCCUACUUCUUUCAUUGUGAGAGAUUCAGUCACUCAUUCAACAACUAGUUAUUGUCAUGAACUUGGCAACUGUUCUAGGCAUUAGGAAUUCAACAGAGGGAAAAAUAAAACAAUCCUGAAAAAAGGCCUUCAUUUGUUGAAACAUAUUCUGGUGGUGGAGUGGGACAGAAUCAAAUGGCAGUCUUAACAGUGGCUAUAAAGACAUUUUAUAAAGACAUUUUUCUUAAAAAUUACCUUUAAUAGGUUAUAAAAUUCAAAGCAGACAAAAAUAUGCUGAUAUUCUUCUGCUUUUUCUGUUAAAGAAAUUUGAGGAACUUAUAAUGAAACCAAGUAAUGAAUCACUAAAUAAUGAAAUCGCCAAAUAAUGAAAUCACCAACUGGAAAUUAGAAGUAAAUGGUCAUAGCAAACCCUAACCAGGUAAGUAGAGCCCUCUCAGAUGAUCCAUCCAUGGACCAAGGAAGACUGUUUCCCAGAGUCUUCACAGGGUCUUUCUGUGAAUUGGGGAUUAAAUGCCUUUGAGAAAACAUAGACUUGUACAGGAGCUGGGAUAAAGAUAUAAAAAAGAGAUCGAAGAGGAAAUUAUUUAACAAGAUGUUUGACAUAUUUUCAAAUGUAUAUUAGACUGUCCUAGCAGAUGAACCAAAGAGCAAGAGAGCACUAUCUUGAGUUUAAGGCAGAAGCUUCAAGGCUUACUAUAAUUGGUUUUUGUGAUUAACUCAACUUUUCCCUUUUAGAAUAUGAUAUACGGUAGUCUUCCCUCAUCAAUGGAAUAAUUGGUGAGGGAAAGGUAUAAAUAAUUCAAUUCUGUAAAAUCUUGGGUUUUGUGAUUGUGAGAUGCAUUAAAAACGGUGUUUUUUAAGAAAAUAGAACUGGUUAUUACAAAGAGAACAUACACUGGGCAUUGAAAUGAAAAAUUAUCAAAUGAAUAGGAUGUAGUAACUUCCUUAAAACUGCCACUUUCCUCACAAGAAUUUUUGCCUAUCAAGGUUUGGACCAAUUGCCAAUUGUCUUAUAUCCAUAUUUGCCACUUGAGAGGAGCACUUUUUUUUCCUAGUGUUUUACUGUAUUUGACUUGGCAAUGAAAUGAAGCUCCCUCUCGGCAAAUAUACAGAAUGAAACUUUUGUUAAUUUGGGACAGGGGAGAGGAGGGUUUUGUCUGAUAUUACAAGGGGGAAAAGUGCAUUUACUCCACUGAAGUUUCUUUUGUACUGUUUUCUGCCAGUUUAAUUUUUAUUUUCUUUGGAGUUCUGAUGAUAUAUUAAUGUAACAGAUAUAGUUUAUAAUAUAAUGUGUUAAUAGUAUAAUAGUUUGGCUAUUUCAUAUUUUAGUAUUUUACAUGUUAGUCAUGUAACACAAAACAUGUAGGCAGGACUGGUUGAAAGAAACUAUUAGAUGAUUACUACAUAGCGAGGGCCACCCAAGUCCAAUUCACUGCAUGUGAACUGUUGAAGAAGUUUUGCAGAAUUUCUCUUUCAUGUUGUCAGAUGUCAUGUGGUGGUAUCAACCAGGUAAAUGAUUAAGUUGGAUUCUCUGGAGAGUCACUGGUAUAUUUCCUGCCUCCAAGCAUAUCUGAAACCAAGCUACAACUAUAGGAAGUGUUGAAUUGCAGAAAUGUGGUCGAAUUGUUAUCUCUACUACCUGUAUUAUGGAGAUUAGAAGUUGUAAGUAAAGAAGUCUGGGUCUUUUUCAACUUUUUUUUGCCCUGAGGCCGGCUGAAGAACUAAUAGCAUCCUCUCCCACCAUGGUCACUGAAAAAAGUAGCAAAUCUUAAAUAAAGGAAAACAUGAGAUCUGAGAUCUUUUCGAUCUGCCUUAAGAUUGGACAGAGUUUACGGAAUAAUUAUGUUGAAGCUCCCAAAUAAUGUGAAUGAGGUUAUCUUUCUGAAGGGGUGAAAGGGUCUUUGUGACCCACAUUCCUUUUGGAGCUAACCUGCUAAAAAAAGAAAAGCAGACAGACAGAAAGAGGAAAACAAAUCCUAUUUGAGAUGGAGGUUGAGUGACAAGAGAAACUUUUAGCCUUCAGAUAUGUUUGCUCUGCACCAGGUACAUAAUAAUAUGGUUUUUGGAUCUUUGAAUCCAUACUUAGCUAGGCAUUAAAUUCUAGGAAUAAUCUGUUUAUGGAAAAUAAAGCCAUUUCUAUUUGAAAACAAAUGGAACAAAAUAAUUAUUUUUCCCCAAAUGUGUACCCUUUUAAUUGAUCAAAUGCAUCCAGGAAAUUCUGCUGGCAAUUUGAACACUGUAGGUGUUGUUGCAGCUCUAAAUUUGUCUGCAAGAGGAAUUGUAAAUGGUAUUUACCUUUUAAUUAAACAAAGCAUCUUGCAAAUUAAACACAUGUUCUUGCACAUCAAAAUUUAGUUAACAUCCUUUUCAUUGUUCAUCCUGCUGACACUCUGACAGCAUCGUGAGUCCACACACAAUAUAGAGUCAUGCUGCUCCCCCCUUCCCUGCACUUUGCAUUCCUCAGAGUAGAUGAUAUCACAUGCUAGAGUACCCUCUGUAACUGACUUCUAAUAACUGAGCAGCUUUUCCCAUUUAAUAUACUUAAUAUUGUGUAAAAUAUGGGACUGCAUUGGUGUGUCCAGAACCUGGAAAGCUUUGGACACUGAUCUGACAUAUGUCUUAUAAUCUUACACUGAAAAUUUGACAGUGAAUGACAGAACACCUUAGAGGAAUAUAAGAAACUGAUAAAGGCAGAAGCACUGCACGUGAAUGCAGAGUAUGGUUUCUAAUAGCUACAUACUUUUUUACAUGCAUACCAGUAAUUUGACAUUUAUAAUUCACGGUGGAGCUGAAUUUCUGUCAUUUUCUUACUGUCAAGUCCUCCACAUUUUGAAAUAAAUGUCCCUUCUAAUUAUUAUACGAAUUUGAACUCCAACAUUCAAUUUUUUCCCCUGUCCCUUAUAAUGGAGUACUACAUUUAGCUGAAGUCUGAUUUGCAAGACCAGUUAGGAAGUGUGAUCAUUUCAAACGUAUUCCCACAAACUAUACAUGGGAACCCCUUUCUUGAUUGUAGUCUGUCUUACUUAUAAAAGUACAGUUUAAAACCCAUCUAUCAGUACUAUUUCUAAGAAAAUAAGGUUGCUAAUGGCAGAAUGAAACUGAGAUAAUUGGGAUAUGGUCUUAAUGGAACAAAAGUCAGAGAGAGGUUUUUCAAUAAAGCAAAAUUGUCGUUAACGACUGUCAUUCAGUUGCACCGGUGCUCAUUAAUCUCUUUUAUUUCUGUUUAUUUAUGGUUUAUAUAAUUGAAAUAAAGUCAUUUGCUUAGAACAUUGCCAAAGGAGAAAUGUUUCCUGCUUUGAAAAGAGACAACUCAGAAUAAUAGUUAAAUAAAAUCCAGGGUGAAAUGAAGUCUUCCUUAGCAUUAUGGUACCUCUGAGAUUUUCCUUUUAAAAGUUGAGGGAUUAUUUUCACUGUUAGUGUUUACUUUUAAGGUUCAGGCAGCUAGCAUGUUGAAGAGAUGCUACUCAUGUCAGAAAUUGCUUUGAGGCACAGAAAUGAUUGGUAUGGAUAUGGGUGGAAGAGAGGGAGGGCAGCCCUUUAGUGUCAUCUGAAAAAAGCUUUCGUUCAAAAAAAUAAAAUACCUCAUCCUAACCAAACUUUAAAAAACAGAAGUAAAUGAUAAAAGUACACUUUUUGAAAAUACUGACUUUUAUGUUUUAAAUAGGUAUUUAAUUAUUUUCAGUGGGAUGAUUGUUGUUUGUUGAUUAAAAUAAGCUUUUAUGCAAAAAAAUAGGAUGUCCCUUUUUGAUUUCAAAAAAUGAACAGAAUGUGGAUGAUGAACACACAAAUAGGACUUAGAAUCAUCAAACUAAUUUCCCUAGAUUUAGAUAAGACCAAAGAUUAGAGACUUUGGUUAGUCACUAAAUUUUAAAAUAUUAUUUGCAUUUAUACCAGCAUAACUUCUGUUGCCUUGUUUAAACAUUUCACAAUUUAACUGGAUACAAUUUUCCAACUAUAUAGAAAAUCUAUGCCAGCCAACAAGUUUCAGAAAUAUCGAUUGGAAUUUUCACUGAUGUGUAAAAUGUGCCUGAACUCUAGAUGUAAGAUUUUCCUUUUGAAAAAAAAAUUUGAAGUUUGAUAUUGAUCCUUGUGCCACUUGGUUUUCUCUAGGCUUAUACAAGAUAAAGCAAUGAUUAAACUCUUUGUAGAACCAUCCAAUGUGUAUAAUUUUUACAGUUGAUAUGUAAGACUUCUUUUAGAGUAAUUUUUAUGAUAUAUUUAAUAAUGUGAUCCCAAGAUAUUUUGUAUAUCAAUUUCCAGAAAGAUAAAUGAGAAUGUUUUUUAAAAAUAAGCAGAACUUUCAUCAUUGCUGACAAAAUGGCCGGUGCCUCUUUAGUUCUUGCUAAAUGCCAGUCACUGUGCUGAAUAUAGGACACAUCUUAUCCCGUUGCAUCUUACAGCAACCCCACAUGAAAUUACUCUGAGAGAACUAAGACUACAGAGACUGAAAUGCCUUGUUCAAAGUCUCCCAUCUAGUAAAAAAAAGUAGAGACUGGUUUCAAAUCAAGUUCUGAUUUAUGAGGGAAGGCUCUUAUAUACAACGCAGUGUGGCUUUUUCACAAUUCUCAUUUAUGGAACACUUACCAUGUGUCAGAUGCUGUACUUAAUACUUUACAGGUUGAAAAUGUAUCUUGUUUAGCACCAAAUCUAAAUCAUAGAUCUAAGACAAAGAUUUUGACUAAAAGGCACUUCUGAGCUUAGGCUAAGUGUAGAAGUGGAAGGGUGUACAGGUAGGUUCAACCUAAAAUGAAACAGCAAAGUGGGCCAAUGUGUCAUCAACUCCUUUUCCUAUCUACUUCCAUUCUUUUCCUCAAGUUUGCUUCUCAUUUCUAUAGAACCAACUCAUGGAAGAAGGGACUCCUGGCAAAAUUUGUGUCUGACUAGGCAUGUCUGAAAAACUAAACAGAAGUCAAGCUUUAAAGAACAAGAUUCAUUUGUGCAUUCAUUCAUUCCUUUAUUUUAUUUUAUUUUUGAGAUGGAGUCUUGCUUUGUCACCAGGCUGGAGUGCAGUGGCGUGAUAUUGGCUCACUGCAAUCUUCGCUUCCCGGGUUCAAGCAAUUCUCCUGCCUCAGCCUCCCAAGUAGCUGGGACUACAGGUGCGCACCACCAUGCCCAGCUAAUUUUUGUAUUUUUAGUAGAGACGGGGUUUCACCAUGUUGGCCAGGAUGGUCUCAAUCUCUUGACCUCAUGAUCUUCCCACCUCAGCCUCCCAAAGUGCUGGGGUUACACAUGUGAGCCACUGGGCCUGGCCUCAUUCCUUCAUUUUAAAGUAUGAAAGUGAUGUGAGGAACAGAGAAAAUCCUAUAAAUUACAUAGUUCAAGGAUGGGAAAUUGGAAGCCCUCCAAAUUGGGCUCACAUAUGUGGUUCCCCCCCACCAAUAUAUUAUAUUUCAAAAAAUUGAAUUUGAAUGCCUUUAGCUGGGGCAUAGAGUAUCCAGUACAGCAUGAUCCCUCACCACUCUUAGCAAUUCUCAUCCUCGUUUCACAUAUUCUCCACUUGGUUCUUAAAAUCAUCCGGAGUUCAUGACUAUGUUGGAGAUAUCCCAAUACUGAAAGUUUUUGAGAAGGUUAACUCAGAAUAAGAUUAUUUCUCCAAGUCAAUGCUGUCUUUUUCUUUUCAAUGCCUAGUUCAGUGCUUGGUGGAUAGGAAGCUCAAUAACUAGUUAUUGAAUGAAUGAAUGAAUGAAUGAGACAGAUUGACUCCUAGCAUCCAAGUGUCCUCUAUCCCAAUCCAGUGUUUGUUUCAUUUUGUCACUUAAUCCUCAGGAGGAGUGGGGCAACGUCUCUACUUUUUUGUGCAGGAAAUUUAGCUCUAUCUUUCAGCACAUGAUUGUACUCUUUUUGCCUAAAUCAAAUGAGGCCGAAACUAACAGCAGUUCAGCCAAAGGAGAUUCAUUCAAAGGUUGGCUUCAAAUUGAAAUCAUGUAAAAACAUAACAACCAAAUGUACAGUACUUUCCAGAAGACCUAGAAAAUCACACUUACUUCCAAUCAAGUCAUAAUUCUUGAUGUAGUACAUUAUCUUCAUCCCUGUGAUUGAAAGGGACAGAGACGCGUCAGACAAAGUAGAUAUCUCUGCCAGACAUAUGGAGAAUGUUUCUGGAGUUUGUAGAAACCUUUAGAUUGAACCAAUUUUAUGUCCAAACAUUCAGAAGAAAAAAGUGAAUAACUGGGCCAUUUAUCUUUCUCUAUGAUUAAUCAUGCUAUACCCAUAUCUGGCCAUUUAGAAGAAAAACUAUUUCUUUAUUCAGCAUUCAUGUGUAUAUAUACUGUGAUAUAGCUUAGGGCUGAUUCUUCUGUUAUUGUUAUUGUGUGUCAGCCAUAUGACUACUCUAGAGAACCUUGGGUUGCUCAUUAGGAUAAUUGUGUAGAGUAAUAGAAAGUUGGUAAUUUUGAUCAGGAAAUCAAGUGUUUUUAAGGCAGAAACCAUGUUGCCACAGGAAUGAUAGAUAAACUUGUUGGGCAUGUCAGUUGUACAAAGUCAAGGCAGACUAUUAUGUCUAGUGUUGGACCAAGACAGACCCUCAUAUGCCACUAACCAUUUGCAUGAUCACCACAUUCCAUACUUCUUCAAAGCCUUCAAGACUCUGUAUUUUCUGAGGACCAAUUUCAAAAUCCUGAGCAUAUCAGCCAAGUCUCCCCAUGGUAGUGCUCAAUAAGUAUUAUUAUUAUUAUUAUUAUUAUUAUUAUUAUUA